AGAGAGAGAGAGAGAUAGAGAGACAGAGAGAGACAAACAGAGCUCUAACAACAAACGUUUCGCGCGAUCUCUCUCUCUGCGAAAUGUGCAUAUUGCUUCAUCCUCGCAUGUGUCAGCAAUUCGAAUUCCAUAUAAGUCGCUGAAGUGUUGGAUCUAGCCAACGAGUUUUUCCGUCGGUGGAAUUUUCGGCGAGCUAAUUCUUCCUUGAAUGCUCGGUUCUGGAGGCGGGAGGCGUCUAGAACAGGUCUGUUGGAUUUCAUCUCAUUACGCAGAGUUGGUCGUGCUUUUUUGAUAUAGUCAGUCUGAGCAAGCAUAGUUUUGCAGUAGGCUGAUGAAGAACGGAAUGAUAGAAUGCUGUGUUUGUCACUCCCCAUUGGUUUCUCCAACUAACAAAGGUAUAUCGAGGGCAUAUGAUCAACAUAAGAUCAGAAUAUCAUCUAAGCAACGAGCCUUAAACACCCUCUUGGUUGUAGGUGAUUGUAUCUUGGUUGGUAUGCAGCCUAUUUUGGUUUAUAUGUCCAAGGUGGAUGGGAAAUUCAUGUUCAGUCCAAUCAGUGUCAACUUUUUGACCGAGAUUACAAAGGUUAUCUUUGCUAUUGUUAUGCUGAUAAUCCAGGCUAGACAUCAGAAAGUUGGGGAAAAGCCUCUUCUCUCAAUAUCAACAUUUAUGCAGGCAGCACGUAACAAUGUGCUUCUCGCUGUGCCAGCACUUCUCUAUGCAAUCAAUAAUUACCUGAAGUUUAUCAUGCAGCUAUCUUUCAACCCUGCAACUGUGAAGAUGCUUAGCAAUUUAAAGGUUUUGGUGAUUGCUGUCUUGCUAAAGUUGAUUAUGAGACGACAUUUUUCUAUUAUUCAGUGGGAAGCACUUGCUCUGCUGCUUAUUGGCAUAAGUGUAAAUCAGUUGCGGUCCAUGCCUGAUACCUCCACUUUGGGUCUCACAGUUACCAUGAGCACAUAUGUCUGCACACUGAUUUUUGUAACUGUUCCAUCUCUAGCUUCUGUUUAUAACGAAUAUGCUUUGAAGAGCCAGUAUGAUACUAGCAUCUAUCUUCAGAAUUUGUUUUUAUAUGGAUAUGGCGCGAUAUUCAACUUCAUGGGAAUAUUAGGAACAGUUCUUAUGAAAGGUCCUAGCAGCUUUGAUAUACUCCAAGGUCAUUCUAAAGCCACAAUGCUGCUUAUAGCUAAUAAUGCAGCACAAGGAAUUCUAUCCUCUUUCUUCUUCAAAUAUGCAGAUACAAUUCUGAAGAAGUACUCCUCAACAGUUGCUACCAUAUUUACAGGCAUAGCGUCAGCCAUCAUGUUUGGUCAUCAGUUGACUAUGAACUUUGUCUUGGGAAUAUCUAUAGUGUUCAUCUCUAUGCACCAGUUCUUCUCACCCCUCUCAAAAGUCAAAGACGAGCAGAAUGGGGUUACUGAAAUGGUGGAUGUGGAUAACCAGAGGUCAAAGGGUUCCUUCGUAAAUAUGGCAGCAGGAGCAAAUGAAGAGGCUAGUCAUCUUGUUGAAUCUGAUGAGAGAAAGCCACUUCUUCCAACCUAAGCUUUUUGUGGACAUGUUAGCAAAAAAGGAGCUCCAAAUUCACCAGAUAGUUAAGUUUGGUGAUUCCAUAAUCUAUCUACUCUGGUCACAAUAGAGUCAGUACACACUAGAUAUGACCUCUUGGCUGAUCAAGGAUUUUGUACAUCGGACCAUACGAAGACAACGACGACGACGGGUCUCAACCUUUAUCAAUAAAUUUUUUUUUGAUGAGGCCCUCCAAGGUUGCAAUAGAGCGUUGCUCAGAUUGGUUUGGAAAUGAAAAUUUUGUUGCUACAGAUUAGAUUAGGUAAUAAUAAUAUGGGUAUUAUCAUAUACCAAGGUCUAUAUAGCUCUUACCUUCUUUUCAAGUUGUGGUUUUAGUAGCAUGUAUUAUUAUUCUUUACCUCAGACUGAUUAUAACGAAUAUUUUUUCUCUUUCCUUCCAA